rnacentral:rRNA from 1 species
UACGGAGGUGGCUAGCGUUGUUCGGAAUUACUGGGCGUAAAGCGCGCGUAGGCGGACCUGCAAGUCGGGGGUGAAAGCCCGAGGCUCAACCUCGGAACUGCCUUCGAUACUGCGGGUCUCGAGUCCGGGAGAGGUGAGUGGAAUUCCUAGUGUAGAGGUGAAAUUCGUAGAUAUUAGGAAGAACACCAGUGGCGAAGGCGGCUCACUGGCCCGGUACUGACGCUGAGGCGCGAAAGCGUGGGGAGCAAACAGG